rnacentral:tRNA from 1 species
UAGCUCAGCUGGUAAAGCAUCUGCCUGCAAUGCAGGAGACCUGGGUUCAAUCCCUAG